rnacentral:rRNA from 1 species
CCUACGGGGGGCAGCAGUGGGGAAUAUUGCGCAAUGGGCGAAAGCCUGACGCAGCGACGCCGCGUGAGGGAUGAAGGUCUUCGGAUCGUAAACCUCUGUCAGCAGGGAAGAACGGUCACUGUGCUAAUCAGCAGUGAAUUGACGGUACCUGCAAAGGAAGCACCGGCUAACUCCGUGCCAGCAGCCGCGGUAAUACGGAGGGUGCGAGCGUUAAUCGGAAUUACUGGGCGUAAAGCUCUCGUAGGCGGUAUGUCAAGUACAGGGUGAAAUCCCCGCGCUCAACGUGGGAACUGCCUUUGAAACUGGCAAACUGGAGUGUGUGAGAGGAUAGUGGAAUUCCAGGUGUAGGAGUGAAAUCCGUAGAUAUCUGGAGGAACAUCAGUGGCGAAGGCGACUAGCUGGAACAUAACUGACGCUGAGGAGCGAAAGCGUGGGUAGCAAACAGGAUUAGAUACCCUAGUAGUC